UGGGGAAUUUUGGACAAUGGGCGAAAGCCUGAUCCAGCAAUGCCGCGUGUUUGAAGAAGGCCUUCGGGUUGUAAAGCACUUUUGUCCGGAAAGAAAUGGCUCUGGUUAAUACCUGGGGUCGAUGACGGUACCGGAAGAAUAAGGACCGGCUAACUACGUGCCAGCAGCCGCGGUAAUACGUAGGGUCCAAGCGUUAAUCGGAAUUACUGGGCGUAAAGCGUGCGCAGGCGGUUGUGCAAGACCGAUGUGAAAUCCCCGAGCUUAACUUGGGAAUUGCAUUGGUGACUGCACGGCUAGAGUGUGUCAGAGGGGGGUAGAAUUCCACGUGUAGCAGUGAAAUGCGUAGAGAUGUGGAGGAAUACCGAUGGCGAAGGCAGCCCCCUGGGAUAACACUGACGCUCAUGCACGAAAGCGUGGGGAGCAAACAGG
rnacentral:rRNA from 1 species